rnacentral:rRNA from 1 species
UGGGGAAUUUUGGGCAAUGGGCGAAAGCCUGACCCAGCAACGCCGCGUGAGGGAUGAAGUAUUUCGGUAUGUAAACCUCGAAAGAAUGGGAAGAAUAAAUGACGGUACCAUUUAUAAGCUCCGGCUAACUACGUGCCAGCAGCCGCGGUAAUACGUAGGGAGCAAGCGUUGUUCGGAUUUACUGGGCGUAAAGGGCGCGUAGGCGGCGCGGUAAGUCACUUGUGAAAUCUCUGAGCUUAACUCAGAACGGCCAAGUGAUACUGCUGUGCUAGAGUGCGGAAGAGGCAACCGGAAUUCUUGGUGUAGCGGUGAAAUGCGUAGAUAUCAAGAGGAACACCUGAGGCGAAGGCGGGUUGCUGGGCCGACACUGACGCUGAUGCGCGAAAGCCAGGGGAGCAAACG